rnacentral:rRNA from 1 species
UUCCUACGGGACGCAGCAGUCGGAAAUAUUGCGCAAUGGAGGAAACUCUGACGCAGUGACGCCGCGUAUAGGAAGAAGGUUUUCGGAUUGUAAACUAUUGUCGUGAGGGAAGAAAUUGACAGUACCUCAGGAGGAAGCUCCGGAUAACUAUGUGCCAGCAGCCGCGGGAAUACAUAGGGAGCAAGCGUUAUCCGGAUUUAUUGGGUGUAAAGGGUGCGUAGACGGGAGAUUAAGUUAGUUGUGAAAUCCAUCGGUUUAACU